rnacentral:rRNA from 1 species
AGCGGAGCGUGUGGUUUAAUUCGAUGCUAAGCGAAGAACCUUACCUGGGCUUGACAUGUUGAUAGUAGAAACCCGAAAGGGUGACGAACUGUAAAGUCAGUAAUCAUCACAGAUGCUGCAUGGCUGUCGUCAGCUCGUGCCGUGAGGUGUUGGGUUAAGUCCCACAACGAGCGCAACCCUCGUCGUCAGUUGGAUCUCUCUGGCGAGACUGCUGCGCAGAACGCAGAGGAAGGUGGGGAUGACGUCAAGUCAGCACGGCUCUUACGCCCAGGGCUACACACACGCUACAAUGG